GGAUUUCAAAUGUAAUAAUUUCCAAAUGUGGAGAUUCAGAUGUAGACAGUCAUAAGAUUUGUGAGGAAAGAGUCAGGAUUGUCUUACUCUAGGAUUAUUAUGCUUUUCUUUUUCUUUCUUUCUUUUUUUUUUUUUCUUCACAAAUAGCACUUUUUAUUUGACACUAACUGAAGUCUGAACUUUAAACAGAUUCUUGGACUGGUGGUUCAUAUCCAUCAGCUCGUUCAACUUUAGCACCUGUCUCGUCCCCAGUGGCUUUUCCAGAACUGCUGCCUUCACCAUGAAGCUCCAUGAGCUUUCCCAAUUCAAACUUGGGCUUCUUCAGCAUUUUAACUUUUCUAACAAAGACAUCAUGGAGAGGAUAAAUAGAUUGGCAAGCCUUUUCUAUGUCUUUUCCAAUGCUGUCUGGAAUCAAUUUAUUGACCACUUCUUACAAGUCAUUUGUCUGCACCUCUCGGGUCAUGAUUUCCAUCAUCUUCUUCCGGAUUUGGCGGACCUGUUGGUGCUGAGCAUAAGAGGUCUUCCGUAUCUGAUUGUUGCGUUUUUUAGUAAAACCAACACAGAACAGACAAAGCAAGUAACCAUCGGUAGUCUUGACAUCAACAUGAGCUUCAAUCAUUGUCUGCCACUUUUUGACCAUGGAACACAUUUUGUCAUGGGUAAGAUCCAUGCCAUGGAAGUUAGUCAGUCAGUUUUUGGCCUGAACAUCUUCAGUAAUCAGCUUGAAUUUUCUAAAUGCAACUUCAUCAUUCUGCAAAUCAGCAAGACUCACUUCAAACACACGACCCUUGAGACCAUCAGAUGCAAUUUUGGUUCCUUGGGUCCUGGUGCUUUCACAUCAUACCAAUCUUUCUUAGAAAAUGGAUCAACCACUUUCUUCUUAGCUCCCUUUUUGCCGCCUUUCGUAAGGCGCUUGUUCUUGCCAACCGCCAUGGUGCUGAUCAGAGAGCCGAAAGGCUCUAGGAUUAUUAUGCUUUUCUACCACACUUACUGCCAUGUCAGUUUCUUUAGAAUAUUAUUAGUCACCAACUUAUCAAAAUUUGAUAGGUAUCUGAGGUUUCAGAAUCUCUAUUAGGUCAUUCAUAAAGAACAAUAUUAAUUCUUGAUUCUACAGAUAAUCU
rnacentral:lncRNA from 1 species